GACGAACGCUGGCGGCGUGCUUAACACAUGCAAGUCGAACGCUGAAGCUUGGUGCUUGCACUAGGUGGAUGAGUGGCGAACGGGUGAGUAAUACGUGAGUAACCUGCCCUUGACUCUGGGAUAAGCCUGGGAAACUGGGCCUAAUACUGGAUAUGACAUGCCACUGCAUGGUGGUGUGUGGAAAGGGUUUUACUGGUUUUGGAUGGGCUCACGGCCUAUCAGCUUGUUGGUGGGGUAAUGGCCUACCAAGGCGACGACGGGUAGCCGGCCUGAGAGGGUGACCGGCCACACUGGGACUGAGACACGGCCCAGACUCCUACGGGAGGCAGCAGUGGGGAAUAUUGCACAAUGGGCGGAAGCCUGAUGCAGCGACGCCGCGUGAGGGAUGACGGCCUUCGGGUUGUAAACCUCUUUCAGCACGGAAGAAGCGAGAGUGACGGUACGUGCAGAAGAAGCGCCGGCUAACUACGUG
rnacentral:rRNA from 1 species